CACACACAACCACGGCCGAGAGGAUCGAUCUUUUUUUCUCUUCCUCCCCGGACGUGUGUAUGUGUAUGUACACGUAUGUGUGUAUGUAUAUAUAUAUAUACACGCGUUUACAGUGUGUAUGUACACAGAGAGACACUCGUGCACGAGGAGGAGACGGCGGGUCUAGGCGCAAGGACGAAGCGGGGAAUAAGGGAAGGGACCCGGUGAGAAUUCUGCUCGCCGAGCCCUAUCCGGGGUCCAGUCUCUGCUCUGCCGGCUGUCUGCUGUCCUUUCUCGGGAUAAAAGCGCGUCGAACGAUCGAUCGUCGCUUAUCUCGAUCAUUUUUUCCCUCGUUUUUCGGUUUCGCCCGAACCAGAGUCAAGCGGCCGGGGAGCAAUUCUCGGUCUCUCUGCUUUAUCACCUUUGGCUUGUUUCACGAGCCUCUUUUUACGCGUACUACUUUUCGAGAAGGCGAUCUUUGACCGUGAUUCCUGAUUGUAGAUAACGCGUGUUGGUCAAAUUCUCGAUUCUCGUGUUCGAAAUGGAUGUUAUUUGUUAAAUUAUCUCGAAUUUCGAUCGCGGACCUACGCGAUUUUUCUCUAAUCUUGCACUCGAUUCGCUCGCCACGAGGAUGAUUAAUCCGAUCUUUUCGCAGUGGACGGAGGAAUGAUAGCGCGGGGCGAGUCCUUCUGCCCCUCGCAAACCUGUUUCCAACGUUUUCGUGCAGGUACGCGCCGGUAGGAAUGUAUUUCUCUUCUUCUCUCUGUUGCUUUAAUCCCGCUCACGGAUGUUUCAACGAUGAACAGGUUACGAGGGAUGACGGUUCGACGCGUCAGGCUUCUUCGAACAGCGCUUACCCCCUUGAAGAAGAACGCAAAAGAUGAGGACCGAUCAGAUCAGCUUUUCUCGAUUAAUAUCUUAAAUCGGUGGAGCAUACUUGGAAUAUUUUUUUCCGUCGGUGCUUUAAUGCGAUGCGAUAUUUUUUAAUAACAUCAGGUUUUCUUAAACGAACGUUCAAUUAACGAAAUAUUUCAUUUAGUCAGAAUUAAUUAAUAUUUCUCACGCUUCCUCCUGUUUUAUCGUAAAAACGUUCCAAACACAAUUUUUAUAUCUCUUAUCACGAUUAGAUCUUAAGAUCACCAAUAUUCUAUUCUAAAACUAUCGACAACGAUUUCCCAUAGAAGCGUUACUUUUUGCCAAGGAAAAAAAUUCGAGAAGUAGUUCACCGCAAGCACAAUAUUCAACUCGGUAACUCUAACAUUUCGAUUCAAAAAAUCGAACUCGUACAUAACCAGAUCCAUAUAUCAAGCUCGGUAUCACUUACUCUAGAUCUCCGCCAGGCUCUCCCAUGAAAAUACCGGUAGCAAUUUUUCUUAAAUCAUUCUCUGUAUCCCCGAGGAAUCCUAAUUGGACUGGAACGCACCCGCGCCGGCAAAAAGGAGACCGCGCUUUAUUAGCCGUCGUCGUGUGCAUAAUCCUCGUUUCAUAAUCGGCCGAUACAGGUACCACGGUGUCCGCGUGGGAGGCAGAUUCCCAGCCAGGUAAUCCCGGCAGGCAAUCGUAUCGCGAUAACGUCCCAUUAGAACAGGAAUCACGACUUCGAAUCCGGGUCACGAGAAGCGGCUAUGCCGAUCGCGUGCCGCCGCUCAGACGAGCCAGAGGAUCUCGAUUUACCGUGUUAAUGGCUGUUGUGCGUCGUCGAAACGUUUAAUCGACCGUUUAAUCAUCAACGUUUCGAGAAAUCGAAUCGAAUCAUCGCGAUGGAAUGCCGGAUAGGUGCGAUAAUCGAAUCGAGCAUAAUGCACCUGUCAGAAAAGUCGCGAUUCGUAAAUCGUGGGAAGGCGCCGAUCGAAACGCCUUCGUCAUUCUGAUCGAAAGUGAUCCGCGAGGUUUGUUGAAAGCUUAAAAUGACGAGGAUUAACAAUAACUUUUUGUUGUUAUCUUGUUAUUGGGAAAGAAUGAGGGAAAGAAUUUUAUAUAAAUAUAGAAAGUAAAAAUAUACUAUUUUUAGCUCGCAUUAGAUAAAUUAAAUAUUGUGGAUCUAUUCUUUGGAUCUAUUAUUGUUUCGCAGCAAUCGUGAGUUUAUUAUUAUUUCCUUCAUUAAAAAUUGGAACAUCUAUAUGAGAUAUAUUUAAUUAUAUCAUCACAAAUUCAAUUAAUAUUAAUAAAGUUUGUACUUUUCUAAUUGCUCGAUGAUGUAAGAAAAAAGAGAGACAUCAGGUUUUUCUCCUGCAUAUAUUAUAUCGAGGCAACACGAUUUUUCGACAUUAUAAUAAAUUAACAAUUUCUUAAAAAAUAAAAUCAAACUGAACUACUUCCAAACUGUUUCAUCGAGGAACUGUUUCAGUUCGUUUCGUGGAUUUUGUCAGCCAGUUUCACGUACCCUUGAGCCGCUCAGCCAAGCUAGGAUUCAUCCUUUAACCACGAUCGUUGUUGCAAAUCCUCGAAACGAUUUAAUAGUUUCUUGGAAAACGUUUCGUCUCGUGUGUUACGAGCCGGAGUCUUAGUCAUGCGGCGAGGACAUCGCCUGCCGUGUUAACCGUGGCGCGGGAAUUAGAUCGUUGUUCGGGUCUCGUCGCGAUUAAAUAUUCCGAUCAGGAGCCAGACAGGAGCUCGAUUCGCUCUAUUUCUGGCAAGGACUGACGCCGCUUCCGCCCUGGCCGCUUCCUUUUCAGCUCUCCGUGAUCUAACGAGGCCGAGAUCUAGCGUGUAACGAUCGCCAGAGAUCCGUCAAAGGGACGAACAAGCCUUGUAGCCUUCAUCUUUUUUCAAGGUAAGAAUGUAGUUACGUGUCUUACGCGUCUCGACCGAUUUAAAGGUUGGAUUUCGUAUAAACGUCACACGCUAUUCGCGUGAAGUAUUGCAAAUAUAUAGUCAUUUCAGGAAAUUUAUCUAAUCUAAGAGUCGUGGAUUUAAUAAAAUGUUUUUAUGUAGAAUGUAAAGAACUGAAUAUGGAUCUAUUUUUUUAUCGAGGAAAUCUCUUUGAAAGCGUGAAAUUCAUAUUGAAAAGAUUUCACAGAAAAGAUUUAUUUAAUUUAUCAUUCCGUUGUAAGAAAAACUUUCCAGGUAAAAUUGUAUUCAUAAGAUAAAAAAGAAAAUAAAUAAAUAAAACGAAAACUUUAGAUUUCGUUCUCUAAAAGAGAUUUCUCGACAAAAAAGGAAAUUGUUCCAUAUAAAUUUCAAAUUACAAUCGAGAUUUUUAAAAUUAAUAAAUUUCCUUAUAAAAUAUCAUACGAAUACUUUCCGAAACUAUUACACAUAUUCGAAAUUUCCACAAAAAAAAAACAGUUCAGAUUAAAUCUUUACCAAUGCAGAAAAUUUUUUCCUGAUCUAUCAAAUAAAUAAACUUCACCGAACAGAUAUAUUGCUUUCUUUUGGCUGCCAAUACAAAUACACCAAUACACUUUGAACGUUGAAAUGCUUGUAGCAAAUUCCGUCAUAAUUGAUCAUAGUUUGCCAUGAGCGUUUUUUGUUUUUUUUUUUUUGAAGUUCAUUUUUUUGAAACCUGGCGCGUGCCUCGUUGCUCGUGCGUUUCUCGGCGCAAACCUGACCUUCCCCCUGCGGUGCAAGAGCACCGGCGAAUUGUGCGCGGAUUUUUCAUAAUAAAGAGAAAGGCAUCGACGAGGCGAGAUAUAUAUUAUUGGGUAAUCGCAAGGCUGCGUGCACGCCCGCGAAUCGCGCAAAGAUAAUUGGUUAAUCGGUAAACGAGCCGUUACUUAAUCGGAUACGGAGCUGGAAAGGUGUCGUGGAUUCCCUGUUCGCGGUUAAUUCGAUCCUUUUCCGUGCUUUGUCCUCCGCACGCCAGAGAAAUUGUGGAAAACGUUCUUUUUAUCGUGCUCGACUCGCGUGCGAUGCAUCUCCUUUAUAUGCGAAUUCACGUGUCUUUUUACCGGGAAAGGAGUUGCUCUUUUCGCUUCCUGUGCGAUUCUUCCGAUAGAUAUUUCACAGAAAGUGAGUUGAGUCGAGUCAGUUGAGGGAAUUUCAAGCAACGUGCUCAUUGAAAUUUUCCCUCAUUCUGUUUCCAGUAACAAAAAAUGUGCUGUUUAUUGUUUAUGACAAAAGCAAAAAAAUAAAAAUUAUAAGAAAGAAAACUUCUCUUUGAUAUCUCAAUGUGAAUAAUACGUUUUCAAAAUUUUAUUUUAACAAAAAUUGCUAUCAAAAAAUUCAAAGAAACGUAAAAAAUUAAGAAUUAUCGCUAAAAAGGAAAAAAAAAUGUAGCUUUGAGAUGAAAAUAAAAUCCAAUUAUUGCGAUACUUGAGCGUGAUAUUAAUAACUUUGCGGAAUUUGAUAUUCGUGAAAAAUAGAAUGCCUGUAGUAUUCUUUCAUAAAAUAGACGAAUCAUUUUUGUGUUUUUUUUUCUCCAGUGAAUAGAGCGACUAAGCUUAUUUCCUUCAAUUGUUUUGUUAAGAUGUAUCUUCGUAAUAUCGUGACAUUGUUUUGUUAUAAAUGCAACGGUAUCCUCUCGAAUGGCAGAUCUUGGUCGAGAUUCCCACCUCGAUUCUUCACCUCCUUUCUUUUCCCCGACGUAGUCGUAAAUCCAUAUUGUGCCAACCGAGGUGUAAUUCCCUCUUGUCAACACGCGGGAGCGAGCGCGAACGAGCACGCGAAUGGUAAUUAAAGUUAUUAGUCGCGUUUCACAAUUUAUGAUUAAUCGUCAACCGCGAUGUUAUUUUUGCCACACUCGGAAUCGAUCCAUUAUCGAGCGUGAUCUUUAAUAAAGACGCGCAUUCAACAUAUAAUCGCCAUCGAUUCGAUCAUCGCCCCAUCUAAAUCAACGUUUCGACGUGUAAUUAUAUAUAUAUAUAUAUAUAUUUUUAUUAAUUUAUUACGUGUCGAGGAUAUUAUUAUAAUAUCCGUAUUAUGCAUAUACAUGAUGACAAUAUUUUUUCAGAUCGUGAGGGAGAUAAUAAUCGGUUCGAUGUCAAAUGACAUUAAUCCCGAAGCACUUGAAAAUAUAAUUCUUCGAGAUACACGUCUCGAAGACCGUCGAAUUUUUCCCCUCCCCAUUCACGAUAUUCCGUAUAUAUUCCUCAGAAAAAUUCGAUUUACACACGUGCUAUAAUUUACCAUGUUCGACCGUGAAGGGUUACAAUAUUUAACGGACAACCGCAGAAAUAAACAAGAUCCCUUCGCGGUAAUACGAUUCCUUAAAAACGAUUCCUUCAGCGAAUACAUAAAUCAGGGGGCGAUCGAGUCGGCGGUGAUUCAGACGAUCGCAUGCGAGCCGAUCGUUUCCAUUGUUUCGACCGCGGGUGGAAAGGCAUAUUAUUCGAUAAAGUCUCCAAGGGUGAACGGUGCGUUGUCGAACGUGUCGGAAGCUAAUUCUCGGUUUCCUCUCGUAUUCUCUUCUCUUUCUCUCUUUUCUCUCUUUAAUUUACCUGCUCGCGAUUUUGUCGGCCGUUCUAUUCGACUCCUUUUGGCAAAGCAAGGCCAAGCUUUGGACAGCUUCCUGAUCCACGAUGGUUCGACGAUGGUGUGCGUGCGGAAUUCGAACGUGUAUCGAUCAUUUCCGAUCGCGAGCAAGGUCGAAAGGGAUUGGCUGCCUUCGAUCUUCCUCUCCGCUCUUCCUAUCCCCGUGAAAACCGUAGUUCUGUCCGUCUCGUUCUGUUGCUCGCCUCGAUCCCCCCGAAGAAUUGUAAUUGUAAGCGUUUUAUAGCAAGGAGAGGCCUGUGUGACGUCGUUUCGAAGAGAAUAUCGCUACGGUCGAGAGAGUUGUUUCUUGGAUAAUAAAACAAGCACAGAACUCCUUCGACCCUUGAGCCGAUUUACGCACGAUACGAUUCAGGAAGUGGUAUUAGGCAUGUGUUUCGCGUAGACAGAUUUCGCUCGAGAGUGCGAAGGGAUCGUGGAGAAUGUUUGUGGGGAUAGAGCGAUCGAAGGUCUUAGAAGAACCUUCAAGCUUACCGUUACUAUUUCUGAAACGCUAUUAUGUACCGAUUAAUUUGGAGAUUCCUUAUCGAAUUGAUGUAAGCUAAUAUUUAAUUAUUUCGUUGUUGCGUCAUAACGUUUCUUAGUUUCGAAAUUUUUUAAAUUUUUCUUCUUAUAACGAGAUCGAUCAAGAGUUCUUUUUUCGAAAAAUCCGAACUUUAAUGGAUAGGAAAAUCUUACAAAUAGAAUCAUUAGAAAUCGUUAGAAAAGAUAGAAUAAACAUUAGGCAGGAUGUUUAACGUGCGAUAUUAGCGAUGUGUAUUAAUGUCCUCGGAAUAUUUUUCACGUUGUUCGAACGACAGAGUUUUCCAAUGCUCGUUAUCUCGAUGAAUUCUUUCAACGAGUUAGUUUAUCCUUCAUCGCGUACAAAUUUCCAUAUGGAAACCGAACAUCGUUCGAGAAUAUCCUCCCGCCCCACGCACGUAGAAAUUAUCCGAUGUGCACGAAACGAUUAAUAAAACUUUCCUUAUAAGGAAAUCGAAUAAACCGGCGUCGAGUUUUUUUCAAUUUCACUUUAUAUCCCCGCGUAUAAAACGUUAACUGCGAGGAUAAAAUGGUCCCCAACUCGAAAACAAAUCCGAAUAAGAACUAACAUCGUUUAUUAUUAACACGAUGUUGUAAACCCGUUUCAUCGUUCCAGCUCUUUUUCUUUUUCUUUCUUUUCUUUUCACAACCUCCGAUUUUUACAGCCGCGUUUUAAUUCAUUCUCGAAAAUUUAUCAAUACCGAUCGAUCCCUCUCUCGAAAACGUUUCUUCGACGACCGGUUGGUUAUACGUGUCGCUAUUUGAGCAUUCUCUCAACGAUAAACCCAUUAUAUGGCGAACUUUCCCUAUCGUCGUCACUCGCGAAGACGGCGCGAGCUGUGACGAAAUAAAACUGGGUGGGUCGUUCGAGCAAGGUGUGAAAUGCUCCAAGAUAUUUCGACGUUGUUCGAUCGAUAUUUCACCGUACAGGCAUGCGAGAAGGAAGUUGAUCAGCUUCGAACGAAACUGGUCCUGAUGGUGGAACGUUGCUUGCUACUCGCUCAGGGUAUCGAGGGCAACCGCGCUGCGUUGUUCUCGCUACGCGGAUAUCCGCAUGUCUCUCUUUCUCUUUCUCUUUCCCUCUCUGUCUAGACGAAUAUUCAGAUCGUCGAGCUCAACCAGUAUUCACUCGGGUGAAUAUUACGUAUGAGCCACGUCAAUGGACACCUGUAACUCUCUUGUACUCGUCCGUACGUAUCCUCUUAAACUCCUUUGUGCUCCGUGAUUCAAUACACGUAGGCAUUGUCUGCGAUUACCAUGCCUAUUUAACCUCGACGAAUUAUCCUCUCUCGUUACGGACCAAAUGGAUUUUCCUUUUUGAUUUUGUGUCGUGUUGUUAUUGAAAAGAUGAAUGUACUGUUUUUUUUUUUAUUUUAUUUUAUUUUAUUUUUCUACGCUUCAUUUUUAGUAAUAUUUUUGGCGAUAUUUUUCGAUCAAAAGAUAGAAGAUUGAUCGAAUCCUGUAGGCGGACGUGGAAAGCCCUGUGGAUCGGAGGUAUAUUGUGCAGGUUCGUGAAUGGGUCUCUCUCGCGGCGAGAGAAGCGGACCCCGUCUACGAACCCGGACACGAUCGCCUGACUCUCGUGCAUUACGUUAUUACACCGGUGCCGAUUCCGUCGGCCGUUUAUCUAAUCGACCCGGAACGUUGUAUCCGUGCCCGUGAACUGUUUCCACGUAGGUAGUACGUAUUCGAAGGCUUGGGUUGAUUCGUUCGUUGAACCGGAUCGGCCAAAAGAAACCCAUUAUCAUUCGAAUUAACAAGCGUGGACAAGUAUAUAUCCGAGGAGAAUUAAAAAAAAAAAAUUUUCCCCUUCGUAAAGAUGGUUGAAUGGCAAAUAUUCCGGCAGAAAAUUAUAUUUGAUCGGGUCAAGAGAAACGCACACUGAUGAAAUGCUUAAUUGGGUACCGAUCGAGGUGAGUUAGAGAGCGUGCGACGAAAGUGUUUCACGGUGAGUUCAUUUGCAAAUUCACGUGGGACGUGAUUAUCGUUUAACGCCGGAUGGAUGGCGUGCAUUGUCGUUAAACGGAUGCUUUGGACACGCGCUCCCCUCCGGGGCGUCGAUCGUGCGAUAUGGAGAUAAUCGAAUUGGCGGCCUAUCGUAAACGUGUAAUCGCGUUUUCGCACGACCCACGCAUUUUAUCGAACCGAAGUAUCGAAGUCGUGUAAUUUUCUCCAACCGACAGUUUCAUCCGGCCCAUUCAUCAAAACAUGUUUAUUCGUUUUAUUCUUCUUUUUUUUUUUUUUUUUUGUGAGUUUUUAUAUAUAUACGUUUAAGUAAACGAGAGAUUUAUUUCCGUUUCGAUUUCAUCAUUAUAUACGUUCGAAUUAUUAUUAUUAUUAUAGCGUUUAUAAUUCAUGUUCUGAAUAUAUAUUUCAAUAUAAUAUAUAAUUAGCAAUUGGUUAAUUAUAAUUCGAGUAUAUAUUUUACUAUUUUCUUUUUUAGUAGAAUAUCAUAUCGAAGAAAUUAAAGUUUCGUUAUUAUUAUCAUCUUUUUAAAGAUAUAACUUCGUAAUUUGUUAUUUUGUUAUAAGAUAGAGUAAAAUUUUAAAUCGUAAGAUAUUCAUUUCAGUGAUUUAUUCUACAAUAAGAAACAUAAUAUUCCAUUAUAUUCUUUUGUAAAUUUUCUAAAUUUUCUUCUAAGAUAUAUGAAAAAUUACUCGUGCAUUACAAAUUUUGAAUUUUUAUUAAUAUAUUUAAAGAAUUACUUGUACGUAUUUGUUGUAUAGAUAAAAAGAAAUUAUCAAGCUAAUUAUUAUAAAAAAAUAAGUUAUAAUUAUGUUAAUCAUAUUUUUUAUCAUAUAAUCGUGUAUCGAGAUUAGAUGCAAUUAUAAAAAGUUAUUAAAUUAAAAAAAAAAUUUAAUCGAGAUAAAUAUCAAAUCUGUUGAUUCAUUCCUAAAUCUAUAAAUAAUUCAUAUUUCGAUAAUUUAUGUGUCUUGUAUAAUACGUAUUCCCCGUGUCCACAUUGUGCUUUAUCUUGCACGUUUUAUACCGAGAAGACACGCGCGGAUCCGCGUGAAACAAUUUAUAAAUAUCUUUAAACGCGUGCAGCGGAAAAUUCCGAGAAGGAUGAUAAUCGCGAGCGGAAUUCAAUAGAAUUGCUGGAAAUCGUGUGUUCAGUUGAUUAUUGGAACGUUGGUAUAAUGGUUCGACGUGAAUUCAUACAAAAGUAUUAAAUUCAAACGUAAAAAAAGACUCAUCUUUUUCAUCUUUCCGUUUUCUUUCUUUCUUUCACGACAAAUUUCACGUUAACUCGAUCCAAUUCUAGACUAUUUAUAAAUUUCUUUCCUCUUGCUCUUGUUUUGAACAAUUUUUGUAUUAUUUUAAUAAGACUGGAACGUGGAACGAUCUUCCCCGUUCAAUAUACGCCAGUUUCAUAACAGUUUAAAUAUAUAGUCACAUUUUGUAAAACGUGCCGUAUAUUCCGACUGUGUUUCUUCAAUCGAUACUUAUAAACCAAUCUCAUGCCAGAAGUUACGUAACAGACAUUGCUAGUCAAGUGUGUCGGACUUAAGGCCAGGGACGGAGAAAACGCUCGACCUCCUCUUUCUUUAAUGUAUAUUGCUUUGCUACCUUUUCCUACGUUAAAUUUUCCUAUGAUUCGAUACAAAUCAUAUUCCAAUAUAAGUGAAAUCGAAUUCUCUUCUUCCUCAACUUAUAUCAUCAUUCGACAGUUACAGAAAUUUUCUAUAUCAAAUAAAUCAAAUUUUUCUAUCUUCUUCUCUUCAAAAGUUUCUUGUAAUUCAUACAAAUAAAAUUCUCUUCCUCUUUAAUUUACGAUUACAAUUACAGAAAUUUUCUUUCUAAAUUUUUCCACUCUUCUCGUUCCCUGAUUCACGAAUUCUUUUUAUUUUCUACGUCUCCUGUAAUACAAAUACAAACUCCAUCUCGAAUAAAAAUAUCUCUGUAUCAAAUUCGAUGUCCUUGUUUCUUAACUUGUAUCGCAUUACGCGGCACAAUUCCUCUGGACUUUUUUUUUCUUUUUUUUUUUUUUUCCAAUAACAAAUAGUAGAUUUAAAUUUUAUCGGCCGCAGAUGAAAAUUCUCGACAAACGAUCGUGAAACGAAGCCGUGUUUCUCGUUCGACAGAGGAACGAAAUUGCGCAAACGGGGCAUCUCUGACGCGUGUGCGUGCGGUCUCGUAAUUUUAGGCAAGCCGAAAAGAAAGUGGGCAGAAAGGAAGGAGCGCGCGCGCGCCUUCUCGUAACGGUUGUGUACACGUGAGUUAACAAUCGUCGCCAACUUUUCACGUGUUUCGCGUGAAAUCGCGCGUUGCGCAAUCGUUCACAAUUCUGCAAUCUCGGAUAUCUCGGAUCAUCCACGUUGCUCUUGCAUCUUUGAUAUUGAUCUCUCCAUCGACGUUUGACGUUGAGGCAGCAGUACUCGUUUGAGAGGAGAAUAGAUAUGCGAUGGUAACGGGAGAACGGUGAGAAUUGGAGCGCGAAUCGUAUUUGGAAAUAAGGAUUGAUUCGCCGAAGUGCAUAUCGUAGAUCGUGCAAAGUUAUAAUGGGAUUUAAGUAUCAGUUUUCCGUCACUUUAUUUUAGAUUGGAAUUUUAAUUUUUCGAAACUACGAUAUCUCGGCAUGUUUGUUUUUUAAAUACGUAACGAUCCUCUUAAAUCUCCAUCAUCGUGAUGAUUUCACGGAAUUUUAUAUAAAUUUGAAGAUUACGAUCGAUUCAAAUUAAUACUUAAUUCGAACGCCUUCAAAUAGAUCGUAUUGAUGAUGAUACGUGGAAAGAUAAUACUCAUGCUUCGUUUCUAAUGUAAGUAAAAAAAUAUGUCUCUCUCUCUCUCUCUCUUUUAUCCGUGAAAAGAGAUAGAAAUCUAUAAUGGAGAUCAAUGACGGAUGAAGGUUUCUCUUUCGAUUCUUAACGAUUUUGUAUACAUCGUAUAUAAUUUUUUCAAUCAACUUUCAAUCGAAAGAAUAAAGACCUGAUGCAAAUUGAAUGACGCAACGUAAUUAAGAGUUGGCAGCUUUGUCACUCGGUAUAUUUAUAUAUUCCCCCUUACGAUAUUAAUAAACCUCGUCAAAUUGCACAGCAUCGUUGUUAAUAAAAACGAAGCUGAAAAAUGACAGCUCGCCUGUCUGAUUCCGAUCUAAAUGAAGUCUUGCAAACCGUUCCAUUAUUUGAGUGAAAAAUUACAUUACAACAAGAUACUAUUUCCCCUUCCUUUUCUCAUAUUCACGAAUAUAAGCAUCUUCUUUGAAUUUCUUUCGACGAUUAAUACAAAGCCAAGCGAUAAAUCUCCAAGCUAUUGGAAGCUAGAUUAUGCUUGUCCCACGAAAAAGUACACCUCUUUGUAAUAAUGGUACUCGUAACAUCGAUUAUACAACGAUCUUACACAUCUAAGUGGAUAACGUUGUAGCGUGUCGUUAUCGUGUAUGAUCUUGACGAGGACUCGCUCACGUUUCGAUACAUUCAACACCAGGAGACCGGUUCGAAGGAAAAGUCAGGUUUGCGUAUUAAUUCGCCACUUUUCUCCAUUGUUCCGAAUCAGCUUUCACCGUUGCGCCACCAUUCGCUUCGCGGAUGUUUUGCAUUUUGUUUCGCGCGACACGCGGCUUCUUAAGCUGACCAAUCGAUCGAUUCCAUUGAAAAAUCGAACUUUGCUCGUCGAUUACAAAAUUCUUCAAUUUCUGCGCUUACACAGAGGUGAAAGAAACGUCUCGAAGGCAAUGAUAUAUAACGAAGAAAAAUAAAAGGAUAUUGAUACGGAAACCGAUUUCAUUGGCCAUCCACUUCGAGAAAGAUCGAGUGUAGUUUAUCGAUCGCAACGUGUAUUAUUCUUUCACGAGGUCUUUAUAAAUCCAUAUUCAUUGUCAACGCUACUCUCUCUCUCUCUCUCUCUCUCUCCUCUUCAAUCCUUAACUAUCCUCCCUCGAGAUAUCGAUUUCACGAGCGAGCCAAUUACGAACAGGCAAAUCCAUACAAAAUCCGCCACGGUAAUUACAAGCGUAUAGGAUCGUGGUGGACGUGUCCAUGUUACCAUAUAUUCAUCGUGUAUCGCAAUUUCACCCGUGUUGCCGUAUAAAUUACGAUCUCACACGGGUUGUAACUCAUAACUGACCUUCGGUAGCGAAUUAUAAUUAUCCCGUGGCGUACCGAUUCCUUACUAACGAUCCCCACCAGACGAGCAAUUAAAGUUGCUCGUUUGCUAACGUUUUGAAGGCUCGUGAACGUUUUGCAAACGCUCGUAAGACUGGAUUACACGUUUAGAUACACUGGAUACACACGCCCCCUUGAUUCGACUUUUAUUUGCGGGUUCUUUCAUCCUUUUUUUUCGCGAUUGAUAAAUGCGAAUGAGUUAUUAUCAUUGAAAUUGUUGUUUGGAAAGAUAGGAUGGAGGAAAAAUUGUUGAAAUGAAGGAAUGUGUGAUUCAAUUUACAUGGAUUCUUUAGAGAUGAUAAAUGAAAUCGUUGAAAGAGUGAUUGUUGGAGGAAAUAGAGAUUCGAUGGGGAAGAAAAUUGUUUGAUAUGUGAAAAUAAAUUGUAGAUUUUACAGCAAGAGAGUUAUAGCUUCGUUUUUUGCUUAACUUUCCAGUGAGACGUAAUGUACGUAUAAGAAUAUGAAUGCAAAUUCAGAAUAAUGUAAUGUUACAAAAAAUUUCAAUUUAUUAUUUUUACGCGUGAUUAAUAAAGCAACGAUAAAUCAAUAAAUUGUAUCUUUUGCGCACUUUUAUUGCGCAUAAUUAACAAAAAGUAGUUUCUUUUUGUAAAAAUUCGUUAAAUCGAAAUAACAAAUUUAUAAACAGUUUUUUCUGAUUCAUGUUCUUAUGAUCAAAAUGGAAUCGCACGAUUUGAAAAUGAUAAAUGAGAUCUGAUGAUUCACGAGUAAUACGUAUCCUCGAGAUAAUCUCGAAAAUUGUGGAUUUGAUGAAGAAAAAUUAACUCGUAUAUCUUCGUGAAUAUUCCUUGAAACUCUUUUCGAAAAUUUUGAACGAUGAUAAUCGAGAUUGUUUGAAAAUAAAAAAGAAAAGAAUUACUACUCGUAUAUUUUCAUGGACGUUUGUAGAUCAUUUUUGAUAAUUUCGAAUGUUGGUAAUUAGUAUCGUAUCGUUAAUUGGACAGACCUUGAAUUAUAUGAUCAGAUACGAAAGAAAAAAUGAGAGCCUGUUUGAUCGAGAAAUCAUGAAAACGAAUAAAAAAGGAAAUUGUGUUAUUGAACAAUGGAGAGAUAUUUCGGUUUCGGCGAUUUAGAUAUUAAUAAUUUAUCAAGAUGGAUAGACGAGAUUAAAUUGAGAGUUUUUGAUUGAGACAAGGUUACUGUUUAAAGAAAGAUAGAGGCAUCAAACUAAAUAAGAUUUCUACACCUUCCUCGUCUUCGUCGAAUAAUUUCCAUUGCUUUGGUUAAAUAUUAAAAAAGUAAUAACUUGCAAACGUAACAUAAAAUUCCAUUCGAAUUAAUUUUCCUUAACACUUCCAACUGUAUCCAGCAAUCCAAGAAUUAGCCCUAAGUGUAAUCGAUCGUGAUAUUCUUAAGAUCUUUAAAAAAAAACUGCUUCGUCACAGAUUAAAUAAUGUUGGACAAGCUCAUUCAAACCACAUCUGUCAACACGAUUACACUCGAUUUUCAAAGAGUAUUAUAUUUUUUCAAGCCAGCGAUCGCUUUAAACGAAAACCAGCUUGAACCAAUCUAUCCGGUUCCUGGUUCGAAAUAUUCGGUACCGUUAUCUCGAAUCAAUCCUGGCCUAUGAAAGGACCUGUAUCACCCGAGAAUAACAUCACAAUUCCAACGUUUGUAUCUUUUUUCGAACCGGCGUCUGACAUAACCGGGCAGGAAUGUCGUUUUCUUGGCGCCAUUUCUAAACGCGACUCGACUCUGCGAAUUAUGCAAAAUAUGGAUUCUUGUAUGUAAAAAAAAAAAAAAAAAAAAGAAUAGAUCGUGGAUUUGGUGAGCUUUUAUGAUUUUUCUCUUAUGGUAUCGUUUUAAUGUAGGUUAUCGAAACACGUUUCCUCUCUGAGGGUUCUUGUUUGACUCUGACGGAAGCUUAUUGUGUUUCUUCCUGUGUCGUUGCACUGUGUUAUUACACGGUGUUUCAGCAUGAAAUCGCUUCGUAUGGUAUCGUUUUUCUUCCGCGUUCAGGAAUCGCGGGAAAUGGAGAUGAUUCGCGUGAGAAUUUCUCGUGUAUUAAUAUACAAGAUUUAACUUUUUUAUCUGAAUUUAUUUGUAAAUUUUUACGUAAGAAAAUGUUUUAAACGAAAUUCUUUUGAUAUUAAAGGAUAAUAAUCGUCAGUUAUUUUACGUGUCAUUUUUACCAAAGUAUGAAUGUUAUUUUAAAUUUUUGAGGAUAUUUAAUAUUACAUGUUCGAAAAAUGCUGUAUUAAAUGGUCAAUAAAAAAUUAUUAAGAUAUAUGGAGUAAAAGAAUAGUAAUUAGCAUCUUCUUAUGAUAAUGCACGAACAUUAAUGAUCGAACGAUUCAACUCGAAAUCCAUUACGAUCAAUAUCAAGCGAUCAUCCAAUGCAAUUGGUACAUGUGUUUUCGGGAUUAUAGCUAUAACAUUUUACCAUGCAAUUCUAUAUAUCUUUAGAUAUAAAAAUUUUGAUAAUUAUUAGAUUUUAAUUCUAUAUAUUUUUUAUAUAUUUUACUUCAUUUAAUACUCUUUUAAAUCGUAAUAAUAAAAUAUUGCAUAUUACAAAGAAUAAAAUGACCUUCGUAUCUCGAUAAAAAAACUUUUAUUUGAAACAUAUUUUUAUACAUAACAAAUACAACAAUUAUUUAAUAUAUUAGCAGCGUAUCGAAUAUAAUUACAUCUAAUUAAAACUAAAUAAAAAUUCGGUAAGGUUCUUUAAUUAAAUGAUAUUUUAGCAAUAUGAUUCCUAUUAUUAAAUCUUUUUUUAUUAUUUUUAAAAUAUAUUUAAAAAGUAAGGAUUAUUCUUCACUAUAAAGAAAAAUAAAGAAUCGAGUAAUGAGAUCAUAUAAUAACAAUGAAAGAAAGCUUUCGAGCGAAACACAACAAUAACAGUCUUACGAUAACAACAGCCUUGCAUUCAACUGAACAACAAAUCGAAAUUAAUUCGAUUAAACGAACAUUUUUAUCCCACGAACAAGGAAAAAAAAAAACGAAAAGAGAGAAUUUAAAUGAUCUUUCAUUCCACGAGUCGAGUCGAGAUGUUCGAUAUUAAUAAACCGUCACGUAUACGUAUAAAAUCCAUCCCAUUCGUUGAAUGAUCGAGCGCGAAAAUCGAUCGACCUCGAGGCAUCGAUCACAGCGACGCUUCAUCGCAGCGCGUGUCGCGCGAUAAAAACGCGCCUUCUCACGUGAGUCAUACACGACAUCGACGCUUCGAAGUGCGUGGCUGCACGUACGUGGGAUGAAAUGCCGAUCCGCCAUGUACGUACACCAUUCUUCCCUUUGCGGUGAUGCGACGCGGCCCCCUUUUAUUCCCCCCUCCCUCCUCUGCUAUUAUUAACGAACCGAGAAAAUAAAAAAAGGUGAAACUGAAAUGAAAAUAAAUCGCUAGCCACCGUGGCAUAACGCGGUCACCGAUCGAUCGCAGCGGAUUGGAAGGGAAUAUAGGAGGGAAGAUUUUGCAAGAUGCUACUUUUCUUCGACGAUUCGAUUAUUUUGAUGGAUAUUUGUACGCAAUUGUGUUUGUUAGAUGGGUUUUGCAAGAGAAAUAGUAUAACGAUGGAUUGAUAAAAGAUUGAUUUCGAUUCGAUGUGUUUUUGGUGAUUGCAAAACAUCGUGCCCUUUUUUUUUUUAUUUGAGAAUGGAAUUUUAAUCAGAUGGGGAUAUCGAGUUAAAUCGUAUAAAGUGUUUUUAGGAUUUCUUUUUUCGUGUCUUAUAAAAUAAAACUGUAUCGUAAAAUUAGAACGAGAAAUUAUGUAACCAAGAAAAUAAUACGAAAGAAAAUAUGUAUAAAGUUGAUUUUAAUUGGAAUAAACAAUUGUAUCGGUAACGAUUUUUAUAAGCAGUUUUCAAUGAUCAGAGAACGUGACUUUCAUUGGAUCGAAAUUAACGAGAGAAGGGUUACAUGUAUCUCUAAAUGUUUCGCAAUAAAUGCGCAUAAUGUUGACCCAUCACUGACAAUGCACAAUAAAGAAAAUCCAUCUUCCUUUGGAAAUCGUAAUCGUUCGUUAAAAUGAGGCAACCCUCGUGAGAGGAGAAUCGUGCUGAUCCUGAUUCCCUUUUUAUCGUUUGCCAAACAUUCAGAGAGAAAGGAAGACGUACUGUAAUGGAACCGGUGUUCUCGCUAUGCGAAUUCCACACACGUCGCACUGCCAGCGUAACAAGGCGUAGCUCGCGACGUCAAAUCGCUUUUGUGAUUGUUGUUCUUCUGUGACACGCGUGCUUUGAACUUUUAGAAACGCGCGAUCGUGCUAGAAUAUCUUCAUUUCGAUUCAAUCGUCGAUUCAAUCCUUUCUCGCGAAAGGAUUUUGAAACUUUUUAUAAAUACUUUUAUAUUUCGUGCGAAGAAAUUGAAUAGGAAAGAAGUCUGUUGUACUUUUUAUUUCUGGUAUUUUUUUUUUUUUUUUUGUAUCUUUUAUGUAAUUCCAAUUGGUAAACGUGAGAACGAUCUUCGAAUUAAUGAUUUGAAUAUCUUUGUUUUUACUUUAUAUUACACACGUUGUGACCGAUUUUUGAACGAAUUUAAUUCUAAAAUUUCAUUAUCGCAUCUCAAUUAUGGAAUUAUAGACACAGGAAGGAAUUAAGAAAUUGAAUGAAAUAUCGAGACAUAUUAUAGCGAUACGUUAAUUUUAAAAAACUUUCCAAUGUUGGCUUUAUAAAUUUUUAGAAACUGAUUUGAUCUUUUCUCAGCAAUAUCAAAAAAAAUAUCAAAAAAAAGGGUUAAAGAACGGGACUCUGAACAUCUUGAUUUUAUUCAAACGCGUGCAUUAUUCAGAGCAUCACGCGGAUCAACGAACCCAUCUUGUCAUCGCGGCAUCGACAAAACACAGUUCGAUGUAAAAAAAAUAACGGAGCACCAACGAAACAACCAUUAUCAGUGCGUUGUCUGGAACGUUAAACGGAUAACCCUUGAAAAAGUUGCUCUUCGAGAUUCGCUCUUCAGGUUCUUUGACCUGGUCGUCACGUCGCGAAUUCGUUAUUUCUCAUUCUCUUGCCGCAUAAUUCGCCGAAAAUGUGGCCUGUACGAGAGCAUGUUAUCCAAUACGGUAAGGUGAAAGAGGAUUUUAUGCGAGACGCGUGAAACGGUGCGUAGUCGCUCAUAGAAGUAUCUCGCCUCCUCUCUUGCUUAUUCCGGUGAGACCGUUUUUAUGCUCUGUUAAGCGUGUGGUUGGUUUCGCGACGCGUUGUUGAGUUGGUUUUUGCUUGCGAGAAGUGGAUGUAUUAUCUCUCUGAAUUCGAUUAAACGUGAAUUAUCUUAUUUGAUCAUUUCGUCUCAUUGAAUAUAGAAUAAUGAUGCGUGAUUCGAAUUAUUUGUAUACACCACGCACAGUAUUCAUGUAUAAUGCAUGUAACGAUGUAUUUGACUGGAUUAGAUUGCGUAAUAUGAAACUUUAUCAAUUGUUUAGUUAAAGAUAAUAGCCAAAGUGUUGAUAUAUUUACGUAUAUUAUAUUUAUUAUGAGUUAUCAACGCGAACUUAAAUUAUAAUUUAAUAAAUAUAUCUAAUAUGCUAAAAAUUCUAAAUAGUCUUGUUAACCCUCAUCGAUUUUUACAGCGCUACUGGAGUAUCGCGCGAGUAUCAAAUUUUAUAUAAUAUCAUCAACGUAAAAUCUCAAAAGUAAAUAGCUCAAUCAAUCGUAUCUGAGGUUUAAAGUAGCUGAAUUGAAAAUCAUCUAUCAACUCGCUUCUCACCUUUUCAAUAAAUAAUUCCUUUCCACACCGAAGGCGCGGUCAGUUCCGGCAAAAUCGUGUGAGAAAAUCCGCGAGGGGAGACUUCUCCUUUCGCGUUCCAACGAGAGGCAGGUCUGGAACGAUCUCGCGACCUUCGUGCCCCUUGGUGAAACCGCGAAAUUCACGGCCUUGCCGGCUCUCGAAAAGAAUGGCCUCUUAACCCUUUCAUCCCAGCCGCCUUCCAGAGAUACGCAUCGACGCCGUUCCGCGCGACAAGAGUAAUCUUGUCACGCGCGGCGAAUAAUAUACGCGCUCGAGAUGCUCGAUUUCCGGAAUCGAGGACAAUUUCCGUUUCCGUGUGUUUAAUUCGAGAGAUUACUUUGCUUUGCCAUACCGCUAAUCCCAAGCGUAAUAUCUUUUUUCUUUUUUCUUUUUUUUUAUUAUUGUUAUUAAAGGUUGGGUUUAUGGGCUCGGUAAAAUGCCUGGAGCCUGCCAAGGUUGGCGAUCAACGUCACCGUUGCUUUCCUUAUGGCGUGUAUCGUCAAGCGGAGUACGAAUACCUCGUGAAGGGGGAACUCUCUUGGUAAAUUUGCUACCGGAGAUAAUUGGUGGCUGGAAGAAUGGCUUCAUCGUGAGUUCUUUAAGGAGUAGCGGAAUCCCUUGAACGUUCAAUUUUCGUUUUCAAUAACAUGUUUUUAUUGUUUGUUUGGGAGGGAGAGGAAUUUUGAUCGAGGAGGUCGAACAAUACGAGAUGAUCACAAUUUCGUUCCAGGAGUUGACUCCAUCGAUUGUAAAGCGCCGUUACAGUAUGAUUAAAUUUGUUUGUAUCUUGAAUCGUAUUUUCCGAUCGAUGGGAUAAUAAUUUUUUCCAUAUUUUCGAAAAAAUUUAUGCGUGUCCCAUAGAAAUUCGUAGUUUUCUAGUUAUUAAUAGAACUUAUUAUGUUGUUGCAUAUACGUAUAGUUUUAUGCUAAUACGUGUAUAUACAAUAUACAAUCGUUCCUCAUUUAUGUGUAUAAACAUGUCAUGGAUGCAUGAAUUUAAUAUAUGAGCUAAUAUAACUUAGUGUCUAUCGAAAUUACCACAAUAAUUAUUGAAUACGAGAUUAAUAUUGCAGUACCAUUAUAAUUUCGAUAUUCAAAGAUUUCUUCUAUUUUAUUCUCGCAUUUGAAACGCUCAAACUCUCUAUAGAUAAAUACUAAGUUGUAUUAUAAUUAUAAUAGCCCGUCAAAAUGGCCAAAUAGAUAGAAAAUUCAAUGUAGCAAAUUUUCUUUAACAUUUCAAAAAUUACGAUUGAGCUAUUCGUUUCAACUCGUUCAAAAAAAAAAAAGAAAAAAGAAAAAGGAAUAUCAAGCCAAAGCAUUAUUAUUCGCAAGCAAAUUAUACGUACAAUAUAAUCAUUUCCGUCUACUUUUAUCUUACUUCUCCCGAUAAAGAUCUUUUUCAAUAAAAAAAAAAAAUCACGAAGAAACAUUACGCAGAAAGAAGCUGUCAACAUUCAGCAUAAUUAAAUUAAAAUCGUGUCGGAAUGAUCGCCACGAUCAACACAAUCCUCUCUCUCUUUCCAUCAAGAUAAACCAUUAUAUACAGCAUCCUUUCGUCUUUCCAUCUUCCAAAACGAGGAAUUAUCUAACCCGGGGGCAACGUCGAAUUUCUUCUCGCGUCAAAGCGAUUUCUGCGGGCCAUUGACAAGGUCGGGCACAGCCUGGUUACCCCGCCCGUUUCACCUGUAACCCUGAAUCCCCACCAAUACGCCUCGUAUCCCGGAGCUGCAGCUUCUCGACUGUUACUCCUCUUUGUGUCUUUCUCCCCUUUAAUUCGAACCUGCUGGUAACCAGAAAAAUCUCUAAUUGCAACGCGACUCUGUCUCUACAUCCGAGUCGCGAUGAAAUCACGAUUUCCUUCUCUCUUUCUCUCUGUAUUUCUGACGGUGACCAGUUUGUCUCUACGUUGCAUAGAGAGAAACAGAGAUAUAUAUAUGUGUACAUACGUAUAUAACGAAUUUAUAUGCACAUCGCGUUUAUAUACUGAUAUACGGGCAAACCUGUCCGAGGGACGAUAAGCCACGCAUGCGUUGUGCGUGGUUUUUGCUCCUUUUUUAUUUUUUUCGUCCAUUGAAUUCCUUCUUUCCGUUCCUUUCUGACCGUCCACUCACCCUCCCGCGAGCGACUCCUUCAUCCGGAUAUUCGAUUCGCAAGGUUAUUCGAGUCGCCCCGAAAUGAGAGAUUAAAGUAUGAUUCGAACGGAUAUCCUCCGAUUAAUUAGCGUUUAUCUUUUUUUCUUUUUUUUUUUUGAAACGUGUUCGAUAUGCGAGAGCGCGAACGUGUCGAGUUUGUAAUUGAUUUUCGUUGGAAAUCACGAGGAAUUCGUGAUUAUUGACUCUUCUUUCGCUCGGAGAUUCUGUAAAUUGCGUAUAGAAUUUUGAGUUAUUAUUUCACCGCAUAUUAUUACGCGUACAGAUAUCCAUUUAUAAAAUUAUGAGUCAUAGACUGGAUCUAUCCUUUACAUUUCUUCGUUAAAACCCGCUAAAAUAAAACUUCUUUCAUAAUUAUCGGGAAUUAAAAGAUUUCUCGGAAAGAAUUGCCGGACUUUCCGUCGACGAAUCGCAUACGUUCACGCGUGUGAUCAAAAUUCCAUGCGGCAACAAUAAACAUAUCUCAAUUAACGUUCGAAACAAACAGCCGAAACCCGUUAAAUAAAUCCUGUAAGUAAGAAUAUUGAAAAUAUUCGAAAGAAAGGAAAUGACAAGGUCGGUGCAUCCGACAGUCCGUAAUGAAACGACAUUCCCGCCUCGAUCUUCAACGAUUUUUCCCUUUCCGUCUCUUCUUUCUUAUUGUCACUCGUUUGAUUUCUCGAGUCGUUUGAAACAUCGCAAAGAAAUAAAAAGCAGAGAGGGAAGGAGGGAUGGAAAAAAAUGAUGAAGCGAACCGCUCGUGGCUUCGAGUUAAUCGCUCAUUCCCUCCGUCGAAUGAAGUCGUUUUUUUCCAUCAAGCCGCGAAGUCGACGAAUUACAUUUUCAUUUAUUCCACGAUGCGUCAUACAGCACGAGACGACAGCCAUGGGCACGAUGCGGGUUAUACCUGGUGCACGCACGCUCGUUCACGCCGAUUUAUUAUCUCGCUUCGAGAGUACCGGUUAAAGCCGGAACUCGUUAUAAUUAUACGCGUUAUUAUCUAUGAGUGCAAGGAGGGGGGGAAUACGAGCCUUGUUACGCUUAUCAAAGAAGAUAAAGAGAUCGUCGAUAGAGAUCCUUCGCAAAUCAGGUUUAUCGCCGCGUGAAGAUGUUGGCAAUCGAGGAACGGUUGACGAGGAACACCGAGGGAGCAUCGGUAGUAAUUUUGUGCAAUUUGAACGAAUCGCGAGAAUUGUUGAGAAAUUGAGCAAACGAUUAAGCAGACAUAGAUCAAAGGCAGAUUACGUGGUGUGCUUAAAUGGAAUUCCGCUCACGUUGUACUCCAUCAUCCGUACGGAGAUAUUAUGAUGUCAAUCAGUCUACCUCUUGACUGAAAAACAGUCUGUUUGAGAACUCCGUUUAUGGUCUGAGCGGAAUAUUAACGACGCAGAAUCCGCGAGAAUCGUACAAUAUUACACGGAUUGAAGUCGAUAUUUUCAAUACCAGGAAAUGCGUAACAAUUUUUUUCGACUUCAAUUAUCAAUUUCGUACUUGCAAUUCCCGUGUUUUAAAGGAAUAAACGAUCUAUUUUUUUUCCCCCUCUUCCAUUUUUGCAAUUUCUAUUUUGCGCAAAUUGAUCGACGCAUUAGGGAAUUAUCAUUGGAUAUUGAAAAUUUGUGUUUUAUAACGAGCCAUUCGCGAUUUUCUGUCGCGAGUGAAAUUCUUUACGAAGAUUUACGAACCAUUCGAUGCAGGAAGUAUAAGUAAAAAGACAAGGUUGCGAGAAGAGAUGUUGGAUAACCGCAUGCCUCGCCUAGGAAUAAUUCUUAUUCAGAACGGGGAAAUAUAGAGCGGGGCAAGGGGAAAGGUUAAUUUGUUUCAUAAUAUCGAACGAUCGGUUUCAUCGACACCGCUUAAUAGGUCGACUGCCCUCGAUUGUCUCGUGCGAAUGUAAUAUAUCGGUUUACCAACGGGAAUAUUAAUUAUAGUCCUUUUUUUUUCUCCUGUGCACUGUGGAAUCUUUAUGUAAUACUCGUGCAUAGAAUUUUGACCCGGAUUGCUGUAUUUUCAUAGUGCAAGAAAAUGCGUUCAACAAUUUUUAAAAUUGAUAGAUCUCUAUCUUUAUACAUCACUCAUAUGACAUUCAUUGAUGUGCACAAUAUAUUUUAUUUAAUUGCCUCUAAAGAAGUUCCAAUCGUUUAAUGCAUCAUCCUGAUGCGCUACAAUUCGAAAUCAAAGAAAUAUUCCAAGAGUAAAAAUAUAUUUAAAAGAUACAAAAUAAUAAUUCUGCUUUAUCAAGAAAC